CUAUGGGUCACCGUCACGGCUGCUCACACUCAUGGACCCACUGCUGCCCCUCGGCGUGCUGCUCAAGUGCCUCAGCGCCUAUACAGGUGGGUAUGGGGGGCUAUGGGGUGAUAUGGGGCUGAGAUGGGGUAGUUAUGGGGCUCUAUGGGGCUCUAUGGGUCCCUAUGAGUCUCUAUGGGACUCUAUGGGUCUCUAUGGGUCACUAUGGGGCUCUAUGGGUCACUAUGGGGCAGCUGUGGGUCCCUAUGGGGCAGCUAUGGCUCUCUAUGGGGCAGCUAUGGCUCUCUAUGGGUCCCUUUGGAUGACUAUGGGUCUCUAUUGGGCUCUAUGGGUCCCUAUGGGUCUCAAUGGGGCACCUAUGGGUCUCUAUGAGUCACUAUGGGGCAGCUAUAAGGCACUAUGGGGUCUCUAUGGGACACUAUGGGGCAGCUAUGGGGCAGAUAUGGGGCUCUAUGGGGCUCUAUUGGGCUCUGUGUGUCCCUAUGGGUCCCUAUGGGUCUCUAUGGGUCACUAUUGGGCUCUAUGGGGCUAUAUGGGUCCCUAUGGGGCAGCUAUGGGGCUCUGUGGGUCCCUAUGGGUCUCUGUGGGUCGCUAUGGGGCAGCUAUGAGUCACUAUGAGGCAGCUAUGGGUCUCUAUGAGUCUCUAUGGGGCUCUAUGGGUCCCUAUGGGUCUCUCUGGGUCUCUACAGGGCAGCUAUGGGGCAGAUAUGGGGCAGCUAUGGGGCUCUAUGGGGCAGCUAUGGGUCACUAUGGGUCCCUAUGGGGUCCCUAUGGGGCAGCUAUGGGGCUCUAUGGGUCCCUUUGGAUGACUAUGGGUCUCUAUGGGUCACUAUGGGUCUCUAUGGGUCACUAUGGGGCAGCUGUGGGUCGCUAUGGGGCAGCUAUGGGUCUCUAUGGGGCAGCUAUGGGUCUCUAUGGGUCCUUUUGGAUGACUAUGGGUCUCUAUGGGUCACUAUGGGUCCCUAUGGGGUCUCUAUGGGGCAGCUAUGGGUCUCUAUGGGUCUCUUUGUGUCUCUAUGGGGC
rnacentral:lncRNA from 1 species